rnacentral:rRNA from 1 species
AUUGAACGCUGGCGGCAGGCCUAACACAUGCAAGUCGAACGAGUGGCGGACGGGUGAGUAAUGUCUGGGAAACUGCCUGAUGGAGGGGGAUAACUACUGGAAACGGUAGCUAAUACCGCAUACCAUCAGAUGUGCCCAGAUGGGCUUAGCUAGUUGGUGGGGUAAAGGCUAACAAAGGCGACGAUCCCUAGCUGGACUGAGAGGAUGACCAGCGACGCUGGAACUAGGACACGGACCAGAGUGGUACGGGAGGAAGCGGUGGGGAAUAAGGCACAAGAAGCGCAAACCUGAUGCAGCCAUGCCGCGUGUAUGAAGAAGGCCAUCGGGUUGUAAAGUACUUUCAGCGGGGAGGCGUUACCCGCAGAAGAAGCACCGGCUAACUCCGUGCCAGCAGCCGCGGUAAUUC